rnacentral:rRNA from 1 species
AGAAGUGAGCAUGCAGGCAUGAGUAGCGAUAAUUAAUGUGAGAAUCAUUAACGCCGUAAACCCAAGGUUUCCUACGCGAUGCUCGUCAUCGUAGGGUUAGUCGGGUCCUAAGUCGAGUCCGAAAGGGGUAGACGAUGGCAAAUUGGUUAAUAUUCCAAUACCAACAUUAGUGUGCGAUGGAAGGACGCUUAGGGCUAAGGGGGCUAGCGGAUGGAAGUGCUAGUCUAAGGUCGUAGGAGGUUAUACAGGCAAAUCCGUAUAACAAUACUCCGAGAACUGAAAGGCUUUUUGAAGUCUUCGGAUGGAUAGAAGAACCCCUGAUGCCGUCGAGCCAAGAAAAGUUUCUAAGUUUAGCUAAUGUUGCCCGUACCGUAAACCGACACAGGUGGGUGGGAUGAGUAUUCUAAGGCGCGUGGAAGAACUCUCUUUAAGGAACUCUGCAAAAUAGCACCGUAUCUUCGGUAUAAGGUGUGGUUAGCUUUGUAUUAGGAUUUACUCCGAAAGCAAGGAAACUUACAACAAAGAGUCCCUCCCGACUGUUUACCAAAAACACAGCACUCUGCUAACUCGUAAGAGGAUGUAUAGGGUGUGACGCCUGCCCGGUGCUCGAAGGUUAAUUGAUGGGGUUAGCAUUAGCGAAGCUCUUGAUCGAAGCCCGAGUAAACGGCGGCCGUAACUAUAACGGUCCUAAGGUAGCGAAAUUCCUUGUCGGUUAAAUACCGACCUGCAUGAAUGGCGUAACGAGAUGGGAGCUGUCUCAAAGAGGGAUCCAGUGAAAUUGUAGUGGAGGUGAAAAUUCCUCCUACCCGCGGCAAGACGGAAAGACCCCGUGGACCUUUACUACAGCUUGACACUGCUACUUGGAUAAGAAUGUGCAGGAUAGGUGGGAGGCUUUGAGUAUAUGACGCCAGUUGUAUAUGAGCCAUUGUUGAGAUACCACUCUUUCUUAUUUGGGUAGCUAACCAGCUUGAGUUAUCCUCAAGUGGGACAAUGUCUGGUGGGUAGUUUGACUGGGGCGGUCGCCUCCCAAAUAAUAACGGAGGCUUACAAAGGUUGGCUCAGAACGGUUGGAAAUCGUUCGUAGAGUAUAAAGGUAUAAGCCAGCUUAACUGCAAGACAUACAAGUCAAGCAGAGACGAAAGUCGGUCUUAGUGAUCCGGUGGUUCUGUGUGGAAGGGCCAUCGCUCAAAGGAUAAAAGGUACCCCGGGGAUAACAGGCUGAUCUCCCCCAAGAGCUCACAUCGACGGGGAGGUUUGGCACCUCGAUGUCGGCUCAUCGCAUCCUGGGGCUGGAGCAGGUCCCAAGGGUAUGGCUGUUCGCCAUUUAAAGCGGUACGCGAGCUGGGUUCAGAACGUCGUGAGACAGUUCGGUCCCUAUCUGCCGUGGGCGUAAGAAGAUUGAAGAGAUUUGACCCUAGUACGAGAGGACCGGGUUGAACAAACCACUGGUGUAGCUGUUGUUCUGCCAAGAGCAUCGCAGCGUAGCUAAGUUUGGAAAGGAUAAACGCUGAAAGCAUCUAAGCGUGAAGCCAACUCUAAGAUGAAUCUUCUCUAAGCUCUCUAGAAGACUACUAGUUUGAUAGGCUGGGUGUGUAAUGGAUGAAAGUCCUUUAGCUGACCAGUACUAAUAGAGCGUUUGGCUUAUCUUUAAUAAAGCAU